GCAACAUGAUAGUUCUUUUUGAAUCCGAAGAAUAUUUCUAUAUGGGGUGCUGCACCAGAGGCGUUUGAGAGUUAAAAUGAGCUCGUCCAUUUACAUUUAAUUAAAUACUAUUAUAUUAAAUACUGCUAACACUCUUAUGCUCUUGAUAAACUUUUUGGAGGCCUUCUUGUUGGUUAGUUACUUGUCUACUCUUUCUAUGGAAAAUGGGCCCGUCCCUUUACCCUUAGUUAAAUAUUACUAUAUGUUUAUUCCCAAUGAAGUUCAACAUGUGACUUGAGCCGAACAACGGGUAUUGAACUUUCAGUUUAAAAAAAAACAAGGGGUAUUGAACUUAAAAAAGUACCUUUGUUUUGCUGCUGUGUUAAUUAGCUCAAAAUUAUCCAUCUACGGAUGGGAAUGAGAAGCAGGAAGACGGGGAGAAAGUGAUAAGUGGUUUAUUGGACGGAAGUUGGAAUAUACUCUUGUAUAUGAAGAUAAUAAAGGUGACAGGAUCCUUGUUGGGGAUGUUCCUUAGAAGAAGCUAGUGUGGACUGGCUCAUUCAUCUUAAUACUGAUGAGCUAGUGCAUCCAGCUUGAACUAGUGAGUAUUCUUUAAGGAGACUUCUAACAGAUAUACCUAAAGAUGUUGACAUGGUCAAAUUUCCUAACUAUGUCUCGAUGUUCAAGAAGAUCUACGACCUUCUCACAGAAGAAAUGUACUGUGGACACUGCAAGGAAGCAACUCGUGGUAAUCCUAACUACUUUUUGACUUACGCAAAUGGCAAAUCAGCUGCUUGAAUUCAAGAUCAUCUUCGUCCUAAUGGUGCUCAUAGAUGUCACAACUACAUGAAAAGCCCAAAGGAAAUGGAGGUGAUCAAAUUUGAAGGGUCGCCACAUGUCAAUUUGAUCUUAUUGAUGUGGAAGUUGAUAAAAAGAGUUUACGAAAUAUUGUACAAGUUUGAAUACAUUAUAUUUGAUUUUGGAAAUAUAUUCAUUCCUAGAAUAUAUUGAAAUAUUGUAAGAGUACUUUUUGAACUAUUAUGUACAGACAUCUAGAAUAUUGCUUUAUACUUACAUAAGACAACUAUCUUUUGAAGUUUA